rnacentral:lncRNA from 1 species
AUGACUUGAACUAUAGGCAAAGAUUGACCAGACCAAGCCCUGAGACACAGUGUUGAGAGCCAAGACAUAAAGUUGUGAAGAUUCAGACCCAGAGCCCAGCAGGGUACAGGCUGGAGGGGUGAUGUGAGUGAUCAGUAACACCAUGAAGACUCUGCUCCUGGGUCAGGAAUGCUUUUUUGUCCCUGUUUUGGAUUUUCCACCAUGAACAGCCAAUGCAGGAAGAAAUCUAAAGGUGAAGGAAAGGCAGCGUUCAGCACUGAGCAAGUCCAUGUUGGAGAAAGGUAAUAUCAUCAUUGCCUAUACCCAAGAGAAGGGACCAAGAUGCCCUUGAUGAUGCUCAGCAUCACCUGGGACUAUGACUGUCCCCUGUCAUCAUUAGCAUUGCUGAGCUCAAGCUUUGAGCCAGGAAUUAAGCCAAAAUCUCCAUGGAUCUGUCUAACUUAGUCUUUGCCCCCAUGACAGCUUAUUACAUCCUGAGGUAGAAUCUUUGUAAACCCUGUGUUCAAAGGGCCCUGUUAAGGCACAUCUUCUGUCUUGGACCAGAAAAUUGCUUAAGCACAGAGCCU